rnacentral:rRNA from 1 species
UCAUCGAAUCUUUGAACGCACCUUGCGCUCCUUGGUAUUCCUUGGAGCAUGCCUGUUUGAGUAUCGUGAAAUCCUCGAAAUAGAUCUUUUGUUCAUUCGAUUGAUUUUAUUUUGGACUUGGAGGUCUUGCAGAUUUCACGUCUGCUCCUCUCAAAUGCAUUAGCUGGAUCUCCGUGAGCUCGGUUCUACUCGGCGUGGAUAAGCAAUCACUCGCCGAGGACACUGUAAAAAGUGGCCGGGAUUGCAGAUGAACUGCUUCCAAUCGUCUAUUAGCUUAGACAAUCGAACCUUUACGAUCUGAUCUCAAAUCAGGUAGGACUUACCCGCUGAACUUAAGCAUAUCAAUAAGCGGAGG